GCGGUACCAAAGUGAGAAACAAUUAUUACAAUAUUGGAAGGCUGGACACAAAACCAGAAAAAAUAAAAAUUGAAAAGAAGAUGAAAUUGUUCAUAUCUAUCAUUUCCUCAAGAAUUGAAAUAACCCCUUUCCAUUUCUCUUUCUACAUAACAUUGGAAAGUAGCACAAAUUAUGACUAUGAUUGUGACUGCAUUAAAGGCCAAUAUGGG
rnacentral:misc_RNA from 1 species